rnacentral:rRNA from 1 species
GAAAGGGGUCUUCCGUUAGAGGAUAGGCUUAGAUUAGAUUAGGUUGUUGGUUAGGUAAAAGCUAAACCAAGCCGAAGAUCUAUAGUUGAUUUGAGAGAAUGAUCGGCCACAUUGGAACUGAGACAAGGUCCUAACUCGUUAGAGGCAGCAGUGAGGAAUAUUGGACAAUGCGCUAACGCGUGAUCCAGCUAUAUUACGUGAGGGAUGACGGCUUAAUGUUGUAAACCUCUUUCGUUUAAGUAAGAUUAUGACUUACUUUAAGAAAAAGUCCGGCUAAACUUCGUGCCAGCAGACGCGGUAAUACCGAAGGGGGCAAGCGUUAUUCAGUAUAAUUGGGUGUAAACGGGUUAGUAGAUGGUAAAUAGGUAGUUUAAAAUUGAAUUUAAAAAGCUUAACUUUUAUAAAGGAUUUUAAAAACACUUCUUACUUGAGUAUACAAAAGGAUUAGGGAAUUAUAAAGGAAGAAAUGAAAUUCGAAGAUCUUUAUAGGAACAUCAAAGGUGAAGACACUAAUCUAUUUUAUAACUAACAUUGAGGAACGAAGGAAUGGGUAGCAAAUAGGAUUUGGCACCCUAGUAGUCCAUUCAGUAAAAUAUGAAUGCUCCCAUAUAGAAUUUUUAUUUUGUGUGGCAAGUAAACACGUUAAGCAUUCCACCUGAGGAGUACAGUCGCAAGACCGGAACUCAAAGGAAUUGACGGGGGCCUAUACAAGUGGUGGAGCAUGUGGUUUAAUGCGAUAAUACGCGCGUAAUCUUACCAGUUUUUGA